rnacentral:lncRNA from 1 species
ACUGUAGCAGCCUGAGGCAGGGCUGGGCAGAAACCUCAGCACAUGUUUGUUGAAAGGUUUGCAGGUGGAUCAAGUCACCCAACUCACAGUCUCAUGUGUCUCGUCUAUUCUCCUGCAGACUCCUGUAGCCCCUAUGCCCAGGGCUCUUCUUGCUCCAGCUAGGGGCUCCUAAAGACAACAGGCCGUCCAGGAGACUUUGACCCGGCUUCUCGAGGCCUGUCUACACUCGCUGCUUUCCUUCCUCACCUCCAAUUUCCCCUCCAACCCACUGCUUCCUGACUCGCUCUUCUCCAUCGAACGGCUCUUGCUCAGGCCCGUCGCGUCUUCCUGUGCCAUUUCCUGUUGUGCUCAGGUUCCACGAGCUGCCCAUCUCCAGAGAAGAGCAGCUGGCAUUGCCCACCGGCCGUGCUGGCUGAA